rnacentral:rRNA from 1 species
UACGUAGGGUGCAGGCGUUAAUCGGAAUUACUGGGCGUAAAGCGUGCGCAGGCGGUUGUGCAAGACAGAUGUGAAAUCCCCGGGCUUAACCUGGGAAUUGCAUUUGUGACUGCACGGCUAGAGUGUGUCAGAGGGAGGUAGAAUUCCACGUGUAGCAGUGAAAUGCGUAGAUAUGUGGAGGAAUACCGAUGGCGAAGGCAGCCUCCUGGGAUAACACUGACGCUCAUGCACGAAAGCGUGGGGAGCAAACAGG